AGUAAAUAGAUACCCAGGUAGUCCACGCCGUAAACGAUGGAUGCUAGCUGUUACGAGUAUCGACCCUUGUAGUAGCGAAAGCUAACGCGUUAAGCAUCCCGCCUGUGGAGUACGGCCGCAAGGCUAAAACAUAAAGGAAUUGACGGGGACCCGCACAAGCGGUGGAGCGUGUUCUUUAAUUCGAAGGUAAGCGAAGAACCUUACCAGGGUUUGACAUCCUCGGAAUCUUUCCGAAAGGAAAGAGUGCUUUAUUGAGCCGAGUGACAGGUGUUGCAUGGCCGUCGUCAGCUCGUGUCGUGAGACGUUAGGUUAAGUCCUUCAACGAGCGCAACCCUUAUAUUUAGUUGGAUUUUUCUAAAUAGACCGCCCCGGUAACGGGGAGGAAGGAGGGGUCGAAGUCAGGUCAGUAUUACCCUUACAUCCUGGGCUAGAAACACGCUACAAUGGCCGAUACAAAGGGCUGCCAAGUCGCGAGACGGAGCAAAUCCCAUCAAAGUCGGUCCCAGUUCGGAUAGCAGGCUGAAACUCGCCUGCUUGAAGUCGGAAUCGCUAGUAACGGUGAAUCAGC
rnacentral:rRNA from 1 species